CUUCCUCCUCUGCCUCUUGGAGCUGUCACCUUUCCUGCCUCAUCCUGACUGCCCCAGGGCCUUUGCUCCUGCUCUCCCUCCAAUCUGGGAUUCCCCUCCACUCUUCUUUGCCUGGCUAGCACCUCCUCAUCCUUUGGAUUCCAACCCUUGCCAUCCUCUAGGGAGCCCCCUGCCAAUCCCCAUACACAUGCUCCUGGCACCAUGCACCCUUUGUAGUUGUCACCCCCAAAAGGGGCUGGGAGCUAAUUGAGUUUGCCACACUGCCUUUGUGGCCUGUGGCACAGUGCAAGGCACAUAAUAGGUGCCCACCCACCUUCCCUGGCUCCUGGCUGAUCUUUUUCAUCCGUAGCCCUCAGAUUCCACUAAUGGUCAGGCCUGUGGUGGGCAUGGGGCACACACCCCAAGAUCAGGGCAAGACUCAAGACCACUGUAAAUUGGCCAACAGAUUCAAGGACAACCUUGGUGCCACUCUGACCCAGUGACUCCAAAGAAGCAAGCCCCAGAGCAUCCUCCCAGAGAGCCAUUGUGGCUGCAGGACAGUGGCCACGCCUGGCAGGGGACAGCAAGAUGCUGACGCAGCAAGAAAGAAGCCAUCCACGGACAAAGAGGAAGGGAAGGGGCUGUGGCUGUGGGAGCCACUCCUGAGUGGGCUUGGGCACUGUGACCUGUCUGUCCCUGAGAGCUCUGAGCCUGGGAGGCAGGGCCAGGGGCCCCAGAUGGGCACAGCUCAGAGCUGCCCGCCCACCUCAUCUACCCUCUUCCAGGGUCCCACCCCUACAACAGGGCCUGCUCACCCCCUACCUACCCAGCAGCCCCCCAGGGUGGGCAGGAGUCGAUGAGCCCAGAAAGGGCCACACUGAGCCCAAAGCUGGGCAGCACCAGGGUGGGGGCAUGCUGGACACCCAAUGGCCUCCAAGCCAACAGUGGGCCCCAUGGAGAGGGGCACCAGUAGCGGUGGCCGGGUGGCAAGACUGGUGCUAGCCCUAACGUUGGCCUGUCACACAGCAUCAGGGACAGAGCUGCCAGCACUGAGCAAGGGCUGGGCGCCUCAGGGAAGCUGCUGCUUUUCAGCUGAGUGAGCAAGAAAGCUUGGUGAAAGUGGAC
rnacentral:lncRNA from 1 species